rnacentral:lncRNA from 1 species
AAAUUCCGAAGUCACUUCCUUCAGCAAAAUUUGUUACGCUAAGUAUAAAGAGUUUAGUUCCAACAAAUGACGCAAUUUCCUUAGAAUGGUUAAUUCUUCUUUAUUAUUUUACCAGUGGUAGUAACUGGUUUUUUCCAGGAGUUAUUAUCCGUCUAAUUUGUUAUUUUGAAGACAUCAGUGAAAUUGCAUUCCUCAGAUGUAUACAGAGUGGAACCUCAAAACUUUUAAUAUCAUAACUUAACUAUGCAAAACGUGAUCUUUAUGGAAUCCAGAAAAGACAACUCAAAAACAAUUUCUUAUAUGUCUAUAUGCUAUAUAUUAGGACUGGUUACGUACGGGGUUAUACGGCGGUUCGAUUCGCUUCUUUUUACCUUUCUUUCGUCAAGAAAAAAUUCCCGUUGGUUAUUAUAUUUUACAAAAUCAAACAUAUAUUUUUUGGUGUCAAAGCAUCUAUUACUCCUCCAUAUGAUACCUAGGAAUCAGAUUUUAAAAAAAACCUGAAGCAAUGACUUACAAUAGGAUCAAAUGCAUCCCAGUGGACACAAACCCAAUGAUAUGGGGGAGGGAUAAUUUAAAUACAUUUUCCAAUGUUUCCAAGUUAGCUUCACAACUCCUUGUAACUAUAGUUUCAGGUAAGAACCAUUAGACCCUGGUAGUGUUAAACGCCAGAAAAUCGGGAUUAUGGAAGAAUUGAAUACUGCAAUUCUCGGAAGUCUGGACAAUUCGAUUUGCCAGCAUACCAAGGAUUUCAAUGUCACUGAUUGGACUUUGAGGAGGCGUGUGAAAGAUUUUGGAGAAGGCCUCUUAUGUAAGAAGACAUUGGCAAUUGCUUUUAACAACAAUUACGGCCAACUGGGUGAAGAGAGGCCAGAAAUUGAUGACCUGGUUAGACCAUAAUGGGUUAACUGUUUACAUCUCCUCCCCAGACUUUCCCCCCUCGAUUAUGCCAUUUCGAGUAUAGUCGAUAACAAAGCAUGUGCUACUUCGCACCAAAUUUGGAUGACUUCAAGGCUCCACAGAGUAGCAGUGGGAGGUCAUGUCCGAAGCCUUCGUCAAGAAGUGUAGGAGUGUCUUUAAGCCAUGUUUGGAGGCCGUUGUAGCACUCUAAGGAAAUCAUAAUUUCAGAAAUUGUACUCUUUUUCUUUCUUGCAAACAUUUCCCUAAAAAUCAAAGAUUUUACGA